CUUAAAUCAUAAAAAUAACAGUCUUGUUAGGCAAAGCCACAUAAUUUAUCCAGAUUUUGUAGUCUACUUGAACAAGUGUAACUAUAGUAAUUGGGUUUCGUGAUAGGGUCAGAUUUUAUCCUGAUUCUUGAUUGCCCUCCUCUGUGAACACCAGUAAAUGGUCAGUCAGGAUAUUUGUUGAUCAUCUAAACCUGACUACCUGAUCCACAUUGCUAACCUCAACUACUGCAAAGCAGGAAAGCUUUCAACCUCCAUCCUAUCCCUCCCUUUCUGCACUGUGACUACAUCAGCUUCAAAGUUGGUCAUUGAACUCAAUUCUUGAACAGGUCACUCUUCAUUUUCCCAAAUAAAAGCCAGAGAUGUUGCAGGACACUCAUUAACUGGUCUAUGUUUCUUUCUUACUUACCAGUCAAGGCCCAGCCUGGAAGGUGCUGCAGAACUGUCUUCCCAGCACUGGACAGCAGAGGAAGGAAAAGGUUGUUGUUGAAAUAAGCUGUGGAGAAUUGGAGCAGAAUGGAAUAAAGAGAAAAAGGAGAAUAAAACAAUGAAGAGAAUUAGAGCUGAAGAAGAAUAAAAGGGAAUGAUCCUCAGAUUGUAUGAAGCCCUGCUACUCUAAAAAGCAUUUCCUUAGUGACCCUGGGUGCAGCCCCGAGAGCUGAACUCUCCCAGGCUGCCUAAAAAAAAGCUACAGAGAAACCCUGUCUCGAAAAACCAAAAAGUGAAAAAAGAAAAAAAAAAAAAGAAAAAAAAAAAAAAAAAAAAAAACUACCAUACAGUGGGACAAGUUCAGGGAGGACUAAUAAAAUAAGUGGAACAGUGUAUCUUAAGACCAAGCCCACAGAGGCCUUGGACUGAUAACCAUAGCUCCAUGUGAUGGGAAGAGUUGGAUUCUCAGGAACUGAAUCAACCCCUCCCCCAAAGCCCUGGCCCCAGAUCACUACCAGUGAGAAAGCUUGGGGGGGGGGGGGAGGGUAGACCAGAGCCAAGACAGGCUCUCCUUGCAGCCCUAAUAGAGAUCAGGCCUUAGUUUCGGUUCACUAAAAUAGGACAGAGCUAAACAGUCAUCCGAAAAACCACAACUUAGGAGCAGACAUCCCAGUCUUCUGCUAGCUCAGCAGUCACCCCAUGGCCCCUUCUGCUGGCUCAGCACAUGACCCCCAGUCUCCUGAUAACUAAAGAUAGCUUUACCUACCCUGCUGCUAGAAGGUCCCUAAGCAUUAGGACCUCCCUCUAACCAAUCAGGCCCCAGACUAAUCUUUCCUCCACCAAUCAGUCACAGAGUAGUCUCUCCUCCCUGGAAUUUCCCUAACUCUGCUUAAAAGGAGCUUGUGACCUUCUUUAGGGGUUGCCAACUGCUACCCCAACGUUGGAAUCAAUAAAGCACUCUUGUUAUCGCA